UUCAAUUUUAAAUGAUGAGCAAUUAAAGAACAAGAAGUAAAUGAAGCAAUAAAAUGACAAGAAAGUAAAUUGACGGAAAUGUAAAUAAUUUGGAAUUUAAAUUGCAAGAAAAGUAAAGUAUAAGAAAGUAAAGUGAAAGAAAGUAAAGUAUAAGAAAAUAAAGUGUAAGAAAGUAAAUAACUAGAAUUAAGAAUGAAAAGAACAUUAGGAUCAAGAGAUGUUGCAUUUUCAGGAUCAAUAAUUUUCAUCUCCUCUUCAAUCAUGUAGUCAUUGAUCUCUUGGCAAAUCAUAAGUAAUUGAAUUCCAAUAUUUGGCAAUUCAAUUUCUCUUAGCUUGAUCACUUGAUAAUGUCUUGAUCUAAUUGCUCAUAAGAAGAGAUGAAGAUUGGUCUCUGAUUUAGAACCACAUAAUUUCAUGAAUAAAGUUAUGAGUUGAUUAUAUGUCACAUGUCAAUUUCAAACCCAAAUUCAUAAAAAUUGGGAGAAAGAUCUUCAAUCUCUAAUUCCAUGAUCCUCUUUCAAUUUCUCAUGGAAUUCAUGUGAGAUUCAAAUUCCUUUUUAAGACAUUUGAAUUUUUGGAAUUAAGAACGAAGAUCUUUCUAGAGAAACAAUAAUAGAAGAAUUGAAGAUGAAAAAUAAAAACAAAUUAAUCCAUUAAAUUGCAAUAGAUCUCUUUUUUCUAAUGUUGAAAAGUAGAGAUUU
rnacentral:lncRNA from 1 species